UUAGCUCAGGUGGUUAGACCAUGGUGCUGAUAACGUCAAGGUUGCAGGUUCGAUCCCCGUACAA